UCCCGCGCCCCCCUCGCCCUGCCCGUCCGAGCUCAGCGUCGAGGGGCGCGCCGGGUCCGGGCGAGGUGGCUCGAUGGUGAGCGCGAUGGAUCUCGAGCUAGCUCGGGCGUGUGGACACGUUGGUGAGCGCGCCAGCGGCCAUGGCGAGCUCGAGCCCGGGAUAAACCUAGCGCCAUGGUCGCAAUGGACGCCGGCGCUGCACCUGCGCCGCCGUUUGGUCCUCCCCGACACCGUCCGAGCCCUCCUGCACCGCAUCACCCUCCUACCGCGCCUACUAGACCUACAGGUGUUGGUGAUGGUACAGGUUCAAUGAUGGUGCCAGAAGGAUAAUUGCAACUCCAUCAAUACAGAUACUUACUCAUGACAACGGCCAUGACUGGCACCUUUGAGAUCCAUCUCCAUUACAAAUUCUACAAAACAUUAACAUCUCCGUCACACCUCUUCGCUCAUGCAGGUAAAUGAUUGCAAUGCCUCUAGGGAUAUCCCAAGAAAUAUUUAGCUAUCCAUCGCAGGCAGGACGUCGACAACAAGGGGCAACGAAAGCAUGAUAUUAUCUGAAACAAUUUUAAGGGGAGAAGGAGCUAAAUUUGUCUGAACUUACUAGAGCCUCAAGUAGUCAAAAUCUGCAAUUUUAAGUGCACGUUUGGAGCCAGUGGUAGGAGCAGGUCGCCGCUGGAGCCGGACAAGAUCAUGGCUUGCCUUACCUGGUGACAUACUGGCUAGGAAGAGUGCAAGCUGCCGCCCACACGUACCAGAUGGUGUCGUCAAGGACGUUGUCGUACUGACUGCCGAUGAUCUACAGGAGGAGUGCGUGCAGGGGGAGUGGCGGGUCAAGGUGCUCUCAUCGGCGCCGCUGCUGAUCGGCAGAUCCAGGCGCACCCUCUCGGUGCGCGCAGGGGGGUGACAGGCCAAGGUGCGCUCGCCGACGCCACCCACUGACUGGCGGAUCCAGGUGCACCCACUCUGUGCGUGCAGGGGGGGUGACAGGCCAAGGUGCGCUCGCCGGCGCCACCCACUGACUGGAGAAUCCAGGAGCACCCACUAUGACAACCUCCCGGGCAUGACAUCGCUGGAGAAGGUGAUGGGGCAGCCGCCAACUUGGGCCUGCUGAAGAACGACGACUUUGCAGGAGGGGAUGGAGUCGGGGAAGCUCCUGUGACGGUGGGAGUGGCGGUUCCACAACGAGAUGGUCGUUCGUCACCUCUGAGUUGGAGGAUGGCCAAGGCCAAGAUUGUUUUUCACCACCGAGCUGCGGGGAGGUGCAAAGCAGUAGCAGGACGAACCUUCGCCAUAGCCGGCAGGCUGAGUUUGUACUUGGUAUUAAAGGAUUUGGAGUAGGCUACAUUUGUGAUGACGGGAUUGGUUAUGCAUGAUCUAUUGGCUAAAUCCUUUUGUUUUAUCAGGAGGACAACAAUAGUGGUUACUUCUCAUCCGAGCUUGAGUUGUGGUGAAUUCAACCGAUGUUUCGACCGCAUACGAGAUGUCGUUCUUUUGGUUUAUCAACUAAUAUUAUCAUAUAUGGACGUGAUGCCUGUACAGAGGCGUUUUGAAUCAGUGUGGUAGUAGACUACCUAUCAUUGUUGUAAAUUAUGUGUGAUAACCGUUAUGAGACCGUCCUUCGGAUGGAUUUACUACUCCAUGGUUAUUGUAAAUUAUGAACGAAUUAUGAUGCAGUUACAUUGUUGGUUUUCUAAUCUA